rnacentral:rRNA from 1 species
GACGAACGCUGGCGGCGGGCUUAACACAUGCAAGUCGAACGGAAAGGCCCUGCUUUUGUGGUGUUCUCGAGUGGCGAACGGGUGAGGAACACGUGAGUAACCUGCCCUUGACUUUGGGAUAACUUCAGGAAACUGGGGCUAAGACCAGAUAGGAGCUCCUGCUGCAUGGUGGGGGUUGGAAAGUUUCGGCGGUUGGGGAUGGACGCGCGGCUUAUCAGCUUGUUGGUGGGGGAGUGGCUUACCAAGGCUUUGACGGGUAGGCGGCCUGGGAGGGUGACCGGCCACAUUGGGACUGCGAUACGGACCAGACUCGUAUGGGGGGCAGCAGUGGGGAAUAUUGCCCAAUGGGAGGAAGUGUGAUGCAGAAACGCCGCGUGCGGGAUGACGGCCUUCGGGUUGUAAAACGCUUUCGCCUGUGACGACGCGUGAGUGACGGUAAUCGGUAAAGAAGCACCGGCUAACUACGUG